rnacentral:lncRNA from 1 species
ACAAUUAUCGUACUCACGCACUCAAUAUAUAACGGGCCAAUCAUCUGCUAGAUUUGACAUAUAUAUGUUGAAAUUUCUGCUAACUUGAGAUUAAUGUCUUAUUGGACGUCAUAGUUGCAUGGGCUAGCAACUUUGGGAUAAGGAUUCAUGACAAAAGGAAUACAUAUUCAAGGUUCUAUAUUUGCUGAAAUUUAACUCUGUACGUGUGGAUGUAGAUCAUAGACAGGAUAAAAAGAGAAACUGUGGGGGUUUGUGUUACGUUCGAUAUUAUUCGAAAUUAAAUAAGCUGGGAGUAACUUUCGUGAUGAAUAAAAUGAGGAAGGCAAAACUGAGAUGGUUCGGGCAAGUGAAGAGAAGAUGCACCAAUGCUCCAGUGAGGAGGUGUGCAUGAGAGAUUGGCUAUAGUGGGUAUAAGGAGAGGUAGGUGGGUAUAAGGAGAGGUAGAAGUAAGUUGAAUAAGUCUUGGGGAGAGGUGAUUAGACAGGAUAAGAUACUUCUAUAACUUACUAAAAGAAGAUAUGAAGGUCGAAGAUUGUGGUAGAAGGUUAGCAGAUGGUCGAGCGUUGUCUUAGUCCCUUAUGAUCAUCAUUGUUUUAAUUACUUCGAGCGUUGUCUUAGUCCCUUAUGAUCAUCAUUGUUUUUAUUACUAUCUUAUUAUUAUUUUUUAGUAUUACUUGUUUUUUUCCUUUGCUUCAAUUAUCGUAU